rnacentral:rRNA from 1 species
GGUCAAGCGAACAAGUGCAUGUGGUGGAUGCCUUGGCGAUCACAGGCGAUGAAGGACGCGGUAGCCUGCGAAAAGCUACGGGGAGCUGGCAAACGAGCUUUGAUCCGUAGAUGUCCGAAUGGGGAAACCCGGCCCUUUUGGGUCAUCCUAGACUGAAUACAUAGGUCUAGUGAAGCGAACGCGGUGAACUGAAACAUCUAAGUAACCGCAGGAAAAGAAAUCAACCGAGAUUCCCAAAGUAGUGGCGAGCGAAAUGGGAUGAGCCUUGCACUCUUUAUUUAUUGUUAGCCGAACGCUCUGGAAAGUGCGGCCAUAGCAGGUGAUAGCCCUGUAGGCGAAAACAGUAUGAAAGAACUAGGUGUGCGACAAGUAGGGCGGGACACGUGAAAUCCUGUCUGAAGAUGGGGGGACCAUCCUCCAAGGCUAAAUACUCGUGAUCGACCGAUAGUGAACCAGUACCGUGAGGGAAAGGCGAAAAGAACCCCGGGAGGGGAGUGAAAUAGAUCCUGAAACCGCAUGCAUACAAACAGUCGGAGCCUCGUAAGGGGUGACGGCGUACCUUUUGUAUAAUGGGUCAGCGACUUACGUUCAGUAGCAAGCUUAACCGUAUAGGGCAGGCGUAGCGAAAGCGAGUCCGAAUAGGGCGUUCAGUUGCUGGGCGUAGACCCGAAACCAAGUGAUCUAUCCAUGGCCAGGAUGAAGGUGCGGUAACACGUACUGGAGGUCCGAACCCACUAACGUUGAAAAGUUAGGGGAUGAGCUGUGGAUAGGGGUGAAAGGCUAAACAAACUUGGAAAUAGCUGGUUCUCUCCGAAAACUAUUUAGGUAGUGCCUCGUGUCUCACCUUCGGGGGUAGAGCACUGUCAUGGUUGGGGGGUCUAUUGCAGAUUACCCCGCCAUAGCAAACUCCGAAUACCGAAGAGUGCAAUCACGGGAGACAGACAUCGGGUGCUAACGUCCGGUGUCAAGAGGGAAACAACCCAGACCGCCAGCUAAGGUCCCCAAAUAUAGCUAAGUGGGAAACGAAGUGGGAAGGCUAAAACAGUCAGGAGGUUGGCUUAGAAGCAGCCACCCUUUAAAGAAAGCGUAAUAGCUCACUGAUCGAGUCGUCCUGCGCGGAAGAUGUAACGGGGCUAAGCUAUAUACCGAAGCUGCGGAUGCGAGCUAUGCUCGCAUGGUAGGAGAGCGUUCCGUAAGCCUGCGAAGGUGCGUUGAAAAGCGUGCUGGAGGUAUCGGAAGUGCGAAUGCUGACAUGAGUAGCGAUAAAGGGGGUGAAAGGCCCCCUCGCCGUAAGCCCAAGGUUUCCUACGCAACGUUCAUCGGCGUAGGGUGAGUCGGCCCCUAAGGCGAGGCAGAAAUGCGUAGCUGAUGGGAAGCAGGUCAAUAUUCCUGCACCAUUGUUAGAUGCGAUGGGGGGACGGAUCGCGGAAGGUUGUCCGGGUGUUGGAAGUCCCGGUCGCUGCAUUGGAGAAGGCACUUAGGCAAAUCCGGGUGCGCAAUUCAAGGGUGUGGCGCGAGCUCCUUAGGGAGCGAAGCAAUUGGAAGUGGUUCCAAGAAAAGCCUCUAAGCUUCAGUCUAACGAUGACCGUACCGCAAACCGACACAGGUGGGCGAGAUGAGUAUUCUAAGGCGCUUGAGAGAACUCGGGAGAAGGAACUCGGCAAAUUGGUACCGUAACUUCGGGAUAAGGUACGCCCUUGUAGCUUGACUGGCCUGCGCCAGGAGGGUGAAGGGGUUGCAAUAAACUGGUGGCUGCGACUGUUUAAUAAAAACACAGCACUCUGCAAACACGAAAGUGGACGUAUAGGGUGUGACGCCUGCCCGGUGCCGGAAGAUUAAAUGAUGGGGUGCAAGCUCUUGAUUGAAGUCCCGGUAAACGGCGGCCGUAACUAUAACGGUCCUAAGGUAGCGAAAUUCCUUGUCGGGUAAGUUCCGACCUGCACGAAUGGCGUAACGAUGGCCACACUGUCUCCUCCCGAGACUCAGCGAAGUUGAAGUGUUUGUGAUGAUGCAAUCUACCCGCGGCUAGACGGAAAGACCCCAUGAACCUUUACUGUAGCUUUGCAUUGGACUUUGAACCGAUCUGUGUAGGAUAGGUGGGAGGCUAUGAAACCGGAACGCUAGUUUCGGUGGAGCCGUCCUUGAAAUACCACCCUGGUUUGUUUGAGGUUCUAACCUUGGCCCGUGAUCCGGGUCGGGGACAGUGCAUGGUAGGCAGUUUGACUGGGGCGGUCUCCUCCCAAAGCGUAACGGAGGAGUACGAAGGUACGCUAGGUACGGUCGGAAAUCGUGCUGAUAGUGCAAUGGCAUAAGCGUGCUUAACUGCGAGACCGACAAGUCGAGCAGGUGCGAAAGCAGGUCAUAGUGAUCCGGUGGUUCUGUAUGGAAGGGCCAUCGCUCAACGGAUAAAAGGUACUCUGGGAUAACAGGCUGAUACCGCCCAAGAGUUCAUAUCGACGGCGGUGUUUGGCACCUCGAUGUCGGCUCAUCUCAUCCUGGGGCUGUAGCCGGUCCCAAGGGUAUGGCUGUUCGCCAUUUAAAGAGGUACGUGAGCUGGGUUUAAAACGUCGUGAGACAGUUUUGGUCCCUAUCUGCCGUGGGCGUUGGAUAUUUGAAGGGGGCUGCUCCUAGUACGAGAGGACCGGAGUGGGACGAACCUCUGGUGUACCGGUUGUCACGCCAGUGGCAUCGCCGGGUAGCUAUGUUCGGAAGAGAUAACCGCUGAAAGCAUCUAAGCGGGAAACUCGCCUUAAGAUGAGAUAUCCCUGGGGACUAGAUCCCCUUGAAGGGUCGUUCGAGACCAGGACGUUGAUAGGUCAGGUGUGUAAGCGCAGUAAUGCGUUCAGCUAACUGAUACUAAUUGCCCGUAAGGCUUGAUCCU